ACGUUUUUUUCAUAGAGAUUUAGAUUUAAGGUUAGAAGAAAUGUGGAAGUCGUGAGACUUCCCUUUUUUUCUUCUUAACGUUUGCUAUUCUUCAUUUUCUGAAUGUAUCGUUUUUUGUUGAGUACAGAAUGGACAUGCAGAAUAAGUAAACCAAAAAAGCCAUCUUCGGGAGAAGAGGCUUUUUU
rfam:Bacteroides faecichinchillae strain DSM 26883 genome assembly, contig: Ga0131157_104